rnacentral:rRNA from 1 species
CCACGGGUGAGUAACACGUAUCCAACCUGCCGUCUACUCUUGGCCAGCCUUCUGAAGGAAGAUUAAUCCAGGAUGGCAUCAUGAGUUCACAUGUCCGCAUGAUUAAAGGUAUUUUCCGGUAGACGAUGGGGAUGCGUUCCAUUAGAUAGUAGGCGGGGUAACGGCCCACCUAGUCAACGAUGGAUAGGGGUUCUGAGAGGAAGGUCCCCCACAUUGGAACUGAGACACGGUCCAA